rnacentral:rRNA from 1 species
GGGGAAUAUUGCACAAUGGGCGCAAGCCUGAUGCAGCCAUGCCGCGUGUGUGAAGAAGGCCUUUUGGUUGUAAAGCACUUUAAGCGAGGAGGAGGCUCUUAAGGUUAAUACCCUUGAUGAGUGGACGUUACUCGCAGAAUAAGCACCGGCUAACUCUGUGCCAGCAGCCGCGGUAAUACAGAGGGUGCGAGCGUUAAUCGGAUUUACUGGGCGUAAAGCGUGCGUAGGCGGCUGAUUAAGUCGGAUGUGAAAUCCCUGAGCUUAACUUAGGAAUUGCAUUCGAUACUGGUCAGCUAGAGUAUGGGAGAGGAUGGUAGAAUUCCAGGUGUAGCGGUGAAAUGCGUAGAGAUCUGGAGGAAUACCGAUGGCGAAGGCAGCCAUCUGGCCUAAUACUGACGCUGAGGUACGAAAGCAUGGGGAGCAAAC